GAUGAACGCUGGCGGCGUGCCUAAUACAUGCAAGUCGAGCGAACAGACGAGGAGCUUGCUCCUCUGACGUUAGCGGCGGACGGGUGAGUAACACGUGGAUAACCUACCUAUAAGACUGGGAUAACUUCGGGAAACCGGAGCUAAUACCGGAUAAUAUAUUGAACCGCAUGGUUCAAUAGUGAAAGACGGUUUUGCUGUCACUUAUAGAUGGAUCCGCGCCGCAUUAGCUAGUUGGUAAGGUAACGGCUUACCAAGGCGACGAUGCGUAGCCGACCUGAGAGGGUGAUCGGCCACACUGGAACUGAGACACGGUCCAGACUCCUACGGGAGGCAGCAGUAGGGAAUCUUCCGCAGUGGGCGAAAGCUUGACGGAGCAACGCCGCGUGAGUGAUGAAGGUCUUCGGAUCGUAAAACUCUGUUAUUAGGGAAGAACAAAUGUGUAAGUAACUAUGCACGUCUUGACGGUACCUAAUCAGAAAGCCACGGCUAACUACGUG
rnacentral:rRNA from 1 species